GAAUGUGGUCUUAUGAACUUAAAAAGAAUAUUUGCUUUUAAGCAAUAUACUGCUGUUGAAUAUUAAUCCCCUAAAAAAGAAUAUUUGAAGAAAUCUUUAUUUUGAUUUCUGAAAUCUGAAAUGAGAAAAUUGUACCCCAACAAAUUCUUAUUACCCCCCCCCUUUUUUUUUUACCUCCACCUUUCCCUUAUUCCAAAAAAAAAUCUCAAUUCAAAUUUCU
rnacentral:lncRNA from 1 species